rnacentral:lncRNA from 1 species
UAUUUUCUUAAGUGUUAAAUCUAUGUGGCAUGGCACCCCACACCUUACACACACUCACACCCGCACACACACACCUGACGCACACAACACACAGCAGAUGCUCCUGCCGCCGCCGCCGAUGACGUCGCCGGAGCGGCGUCUCCGCCUCUCCCUUCGUCGACUCUGAAGAGAUCAACAUUUUGUUUCAAUUGGAAAAAUAUUGUGCAGUUUGGUUUCAAUUUCACUGCUUGUUUUUUUCAUUGCAUUGUUUACAAUUUUAUGAAUGUGAAAUCUUUGGAGGCGUUCUCGUUUAUUUGUGGAGAAUUGUGGAAGUAAUAGAAUAACUUGUAAUAAUGGAGAUCGGGAUCUUUGUUUGGCUGAUGUUGUUGCUUGAGUAGAUCUAGUGCUUUAGUGCAAGCACCAGAAAGUAACUUUUAAUAAAAGAACGAACAAAUAAAUAUCUUUUUGGUGAGAAUCUGGUUGAGAUUCGGGUGGCUCUUACAGAUAUCCGUAGGAAAGAAUGACAAGGGCCUUAAGCUGUAUGAUCUGGGGCUCCUGUGCGAUCUUGAAGCUUAAAAAAUUUCCGUCGACUCUGAUUUGGGGAGCUCCUUUAUCGCCGAAAAAAGAGGAAGAGAGGGGCGGGUUAUCGGCGAAAAAGAAGGCUCCGAUUUCGGGCGACUGAUUCGGAGAUAAGAGCAUCGGUAACGGGCUACUCGAUGCCCCUUACUCGAGUAGCCCAAGCAUCGAGUAGCCCGUUGCAGAGCUUGCCUACUCGAAGGUUACUCGUUUGUUCGAGUAUACAUGAGAAUCACCCAUUUUCUCUCUCUUUUUUUUUUCUUUGAAAUUAGAUAUUUUAAUGUUAGUUUUAAAUAUAUUUUUUAGGAUUUAAGUAAUUUUUAAUGUGUCUUUAGGUGUUUUUUGGUGUAAUAUUUAGG